rnacentral:rRNA from 1 species
AGGAUGAACGCUGGCGGCGUGCCUAAUACAUGCAAGUCGAGCGGUAAGGCCCCUUCGGGGGUACACGAGCGGCGGACGGCUGAGUAACACGUAGGAACGUACCCCAAACUGAGGGAUAAGCACCAGAAAUGGUGUCUAAUACCGCAUGUGGUCUUCGGAUUAAAGCUUCGGCGGUUUGGGAACGGCCUGCGCAUGAUUAGCUUGUUGGUGAGGUAAAAGCUUACCAAGGCGACGAUCAUUAGCUGGUCUGAGAGGAUGAUCAGCCAGACUGGGACUGAGAACGGCCCAGACUCCUACGGGAGGCAGCAGUAGGGAAUUUUCCACAAUGGGC